AGGGUUUGAUUCUGGCUCAGAACGUACGCUGGCGGCACGCCUAACACAUGCAAGUCGAACGAAGUAGCAAUACUUAGUGGCAGACGGGUGAGUAACAUGUGGGUAUCUACCCUUUGGCCUGGAAUAACACGAGGAAACUUGUGCUAAUACCGGAUAAGUCUUUACGGAGAAAGCUUUAUGCACCAUUGGAUGAGCCCGCACUUGAUUAGUUUGUUGGUAGGGUAAUGGCCUACCAAGACUAUGAUCAAUAGCUGAUUUGAGAGGAUGAUCAGCCACAUUGGGACUGAGACACGGCCCAAACUCCUACGGGAGGCAGCAGUGGGGAAUCUUGCACAAUGGAGGAAGCUCUGAUGCAGCGAUGCCGCGUGAGUGAAGAAGGCCCUUGGGCUGUAAAGCUCUUUCGUCGGGGAAGAAAAUGACUGUACCCGAAUAAGAAGGUCCGGCUAACUUCGUGCCAGCCGCCGCGGUAAUAC
rnacentral:rRNA from 1 species